rnacentral:rRNA from 1 species
GACGAACGCUGGCGGCGUGCUUAACACAUGCAAGUCGAACGGUGAACUCCGCUUGCGGGGGGAUCAGUGGCGAACGGGUGAGUAACACGUGGGCAACCUGCCCUCAGCUCUGGGAUAACUCCAAGAAAUUGGGGCUAAUACCGGAUAUGACCGCUGACCGCAUGGUCUGGGGGUGGAAAGAUUUAUCGGCUGGGGAUGGGCCCGCGGCCUAUCAACUUGUUGGUGGGGUAGUGGCCUACCAAGGCGACGACGGGUAGCCGGCCUGAGAGGGUGACCGGCCACACUGGGACUGAGACACGGCCCAGACUCCUACGGGAGGCAGCAGUGGGGAAUAUUGCGCAAUGGGCGAAAGCCUGACGCAGCGACGCCGCGUGGGGGAUGACGGCCUUCGGGUUGUAAACCUCUUUCGGCAGGGACGAAGCGAAAGUGACGGUACCUGCAGAAGAAGCACCGGCCAACUACGUG